rnacentral:rRNA from 1 species
CAGCAGCCCGGUAAUACGUAGGUGGCAAGCGUUGUCCGGAAUUAUUGGGCGUAAAGGGCUCGCAGGCGGUUUCUUAAGUCUGAUGUGAAAGCCCCCGGCUCAACCGGGGAGGGUCAUUGGAAACUGGGAAACUUGAGUGCAGAAGAGGAGAGUGGAAUUCCACGUGUAGCGGUGAAAUGCGUAGAGAUGUGGAGGAACACCAGUGGCGAAGGCGACUCUCUGGUCUGUAACUGACGCUGAGGAGCGAAAGCGUGGGGAGCGAACAGGAUUAGAUACCCGAGUAGUCCCUGUCUCUUAUACC